rnacentral:lncRNA from 1 species
AGCCACUGGGCUUCGGCAAUCGAAAGGGCGGGGCUGGCUGGAUCCUGGGUCUGUUCCUUGGUGCGACCUCUUCGAGGACAGGAAGAAUCGAGAAGGAUUCCCAAGAGCUUGGAGGGUAUGCAGACUUUUCUAGUCUGUGCAGCCAUUUGCAGCUUACAAAAAAGGUUUGACACAACAUCCUUGCCCCCCCCCCCCCCCCCCCCCGCUCCAAGGCUGUGGUAUUUACUCAGAUUUUCAGAGGCAGGAUUAACGCAGAGAAGCCUGUUAAAAUUCUAAAGCUAAUUUUCAAAACGACCUGCACUAGAAAGGGAGGUUCCCCCCCUCCCCCGCCCCUGCACAGGCAUGCGCACUACAGUUAAAACCCCAGCAAAGGCGAAAGAUGUGGAAUCACAUCGGGGUUUGGGGCCUGUGUGAUUUUUCAGAAUGGGCCAUGCUAGUCAAAACAGAGAUUGGUAUUCCUACUUGGCAGAGGGAGAAACACAUGCUUGGAGAAGGAACCUGCCCAAGGUCACCCACCCUGAGAUAGAGGCAGAGUGGGAAGCUAAGUAUGCAGGCGCUUCCAUGCACCUCUUCUCAUCGUGGUCUGUCUGCCCGUAUUUUUAUUUCUUCAGGCUCAGAGCUCUCUAUCACCAUCAGAAAGAAGAGGAAGCUGCAGGCCCUUGUUGCCUGACUCUUGAGUCCAGCUCUCUCAAGAUUGCUGUCACAGCCCACAGCUGUGCAGAGCUUUGCAGUCUGUAGCUUGCAGGGGACUUUGUAUGUAAUAUCUCCAUUGAUUCACCUGGCCACAGUGGGAAGUGAAAAUUAUUGUUCCCCCAUUUCCAGGUGAGAAAGCCUCAAAACUAUGAUACAUCCAUUGAGUUACAAUGAGAUUCAAAGACACACAACUAAUAUGUAUCUGCUGGACCUUGCUAUUGUGCUGGGUUCUGUUAGAUGCAAAGAUAAAUAGGUUUUAGGUUCUUAGGAAUGUAAUGCAUAUAUUUUUUCAGCCCUUUAUAAAAGAUUCCAGGGUGUGGGGAUUCAGAGAAAUGUUGUGGGCCUCAGAGGCAGAAGUAAAGGGCAUUUCUAGAAGUUCUGGGGAAGCUUCUGGAGGAGGGAAUAUUUAAAUUGGGGUUGAGUCAGCCCAGGGGCACCCAUCUGUAAUCUCCUUAGCUCAAGAGGUUGAGACAGGAGGAUUGUGAGUUCAAAGCCAGCCUCAGCAGUGGUGAGGUGCUAAGCAACUCAGCGAGACCCUGUCUCUAAAUAAAAUUCAACAUAGGGCUGGGGAUGGUGCUCAGCGGUAGAGUGCCGCUGAAUUCAAUCCCGGUACCUCCCCCCAAAAAAUUUAGAUUGGGGUUGAAGGCCAUAGAUUUGAACAGGUGGGGAUGGAGAGAUGCCCCCCUGCCCCAUGUCCUUUCCCAGUAUUCUGGGCUUGCCCUUUUAUCACAACUCACCUACUAGACUUUAUGCACCUAAUAGUCAUUUAGCAUUUUUUAUUCAGUGCUAGGGACUGAGUUCAGGGUCUUGCACAUGCUAGGCACUUUUCCACUGAGCUCCAUCACCAGCCCAACACUCAACAUUUGAAUAAAUGAGUAGAAAAAUGAGUGUCUCAGAGGCAGGAUGGGGCCAUGUUAUGGGUGACCUUGGUGAUCAAGAGUCUCUCUUCCAGCUAAGUUGUGGAGGGCCACAAUGU